CUGAAAUUUUGGUAGAUGAGUGCUUGGCGAUUAUGUCGGCCCCGAAAGGAUGGAAGGCAAACUUGAUUCCGGUGCAACGUAAAGGCGGACGAAAUGUUGAUGCAAUGCGGUUAUUCAUGUGGCACAAAUACAUUUUCUUUCCGUGAAUAGUUUCAAGUCUCAUUUUAUUUACAAUUCCGUCGCAAUUGGUAACUGAUAAACUUACAUGAAAAACUUAAUUUCUGAUAUGUAGUAGUAGUAAUAAUAAUAAUAAUAAUAAUAAUAAUAAUAAUAAUACUAGUAAUAAUAAUAAUAAGAGCGCUUGAGAGCGCAAACCUCCGCCAAGGCAACACCAACGUCCUCUCAACGAUUAGCCAGAGAUGAUUAUUUUUUAAUGAGAACAUCUGAAAUAUACUCGACUGCUCUCACAAACGAGAAUGCUAAAAAUGACACCCGUUAUUGAGAAUGAAAAAACAAAAAUCUAGAUAAAUUUUUUCAAGAAAUUGAAGGAAGAUAAUUCCAGAAUUCAAACCGAGCAACGACUAAAUGAGAUCAUGUACUGAAGAGUGAUUCUGAUAUUUGGUUCUAAGCAAGAACAUAAAGACAAAGUAAACAAUGAACGCAGAAGCUUGGAUUCUCUAUUAUAAUCACAUCUUAAUUGAAAUCAUCAAAAGUAAUUAUUAAAGGCAAUAUAGAAUUUCUUGUUUACCAGCAUUUGAAUAGUAAACGGGGUCAGAAGAAAAUAGCGCGAGCUAAUUCGUAAGAAUUAAAGAACAUAAUGCAGAUGAAAGAAAUUUUGAGUUCAAUAUCUCGC